UGCUUCGGUGCGCACCCUGUGCAAACUCGCGACUCAUCGCCGAAGGGGUACGGUGGUCCCGAAUUUGUUUUUUUUGUGCUGCCCGCCGAAACCCAUAUCCAAGCACAGUACAAGGCUCGUAUGGGUAUACAGGGCCUAGGCGUAUCUAUACGGACGACCCCACGUGGGUGGGUCCCACGUGCUAAGCUAAUCACCGUGAUUAGCUCCCAUUGCAUGCAUCGUUUUCAUCGGCCCUGGAGAUCUGAUCGAGCUGUUCCACGCCGUCGCUAAGUAAAACGCAAGCAGUUGUUGCCGGCCCGGCCGUCGGCGGUUGUUGCCGGCACGUCCGUCGCCGCCGGUGGUUGUUUCGCAUCUCCACGCCGCCCCCCGCAGAUCGACGACCUUGGAAAGGCGCGCCACCGGCUCGGCAUCUUCCCCGCUAGGGUUUAAAAUUAGAGAAUAUGGAGAACUCUAUAUCUGGUAUGAUUGAGGAACAAAACGAGUACGUCGGCUAUAAUUCCGAUGACUCUGAAAUGGAGGAAAAUUUGCAGCACGAAGACGGCUGGAGCGAAGACGAGUUUGAUAUUGCGUACGAUGAAUUUGAUAAUGAUGAGAACCAUGGUAAACACAUAGACGAUCAAAAUGAUGAGAACCAUGGUGAACACACA